UCCGUAGGCGGGCUAAUAAGUCAGGGGUGAAAUACCACAGCUCAACUGUGGAACUGCCUUUGAUACUGUUAGUCUUGAGUUAUAUGGAAGUAGAUAGAAUGUGUAGUGUAGCGGUGAAAUGCAUAGAUAUUACACAGAAUACCGAUUGCGAAGGCAGUCUACUACGUAUAUACUGACGCUAAUGGACGAAAGCGUGGGGAGCGAACAGGAUUAGAUACCCUGGUAGUC
rnacentral:rRNA from 1 species